rnacentral:sRNA from 1 species
UAAUUUGUACGUGGCGUCCGUGAGUGCGC